ACUGCAUCCAACAUGUUUAAUAAUUGAUCAAGACUUGCUGAGUGUGCAGGUCAUGUGAUGGGGAUGAUAUAGGUAAGCAGAAUCGGAUUUCUGGUGUUCUCUAGUGCAUACACUUCAAAAGACUGCCAAGAGAGAUGAUGAUUACCUGUACGAUGGGGUACAUUGUCUAUUAUAUAUACCUAAUCCCUGAACUCAUUCUUGUACCAACCACCUUUCAUUUCUCUUUUGAUAUCUACAAUUAUUUGUAGCUCUUGAAUGAUUGUUUGGGCAUCAAUUUUUUUUUAUUCUUAUGAGAUUUUGUUAGGCUGAGCAUGUGAAGAGGGUUCUAGACUGUGGUGGAUACAUGAAGGUGGAUUCACUCUUUAUUGUAACUAUAAAUGUAAAUAGUAUCAAAGUAUGGAUGCAAGAUAAAGGAACCAAUUAAAGCAGACCUUGCAAAUGCACUUGCAAAGUGUCUACACUCUCCCCUCAUUGGGCAUGAAUUGCAAUUUGGUUUGCUUUUUGUACAGAAGACCUGCAUGAUUUCAAAGCAUAUUGUCCAGUUCACCCUUAUCCUUAUCUUUUGAUAGGUCAUCGAAGGGAGCAAAUUUACUUCAAGUAUAAAAUUCAUACAACAGACCUUUCCAAAUGUAAUCAUCUGGUAAUGAAGCUCAUACCUGUUUGCAGAAAUUGUAAAGAAUCAGUCAAUCAGUGGUAACUUUAAUCAAUAUAUGAAAUUGUUACUGUCCCAGCUAGAAAUACAAAGACAUGCAUUUGAAAAGUACUGAAGUGGAAGAAAUCUUUACAAUGUUCUUUGGUCGAGCUUGCAUAAUCGGGGCCAGAGAUAUUUUUGAAUGGAUUCUAACACCGGGCUGAAUUUUACUCACAGUUCUAGGAGAUGCAACUGAAGUGACUCAGGCAGUGGCUGAAGCGGCACCCAUCCAAGUCUUACAGCAAUACGUCCGACAUUUGUGUCCACCUGUAAAAGUUAAGGAUAUUGAGAUCCAUCCUGUGGAACAUCUCUCAACCAUUCAAGAUCAAUGCUCCCAUGUUCCCUAACCAGACGGUUAAGGAAAUCCUGCACAAAUUUCUCAAUCAAAGUGAUUUGAUCUGAAUUCUUAUCUGUUGUGAGUACAUUGACGCGUAAAAACACUAUUUCGUGGAACUCUUACCUGGAUACGCCCUGCAAGCACAUUGUUCAUCCCUCGUUCUUUGAUGGCGUCGGCAAUCUCAUGAACGCCUGCAGAUCUUAAAGCUUCCCAGUCCACUGAGUCCAUUGUAUUUGCUGUUCUCUCUCUUUUCUUUCCAUUCGCUUCCACCUGUUUUCUAAGACUGUCCCAGUUAAACUCGUCUUUUUUCUCCUUUCGCACUUUUUUACUCUUUGCUUUUACAGUAGCAGCUUCCAUCUCACCCAUCUCAUUACUGAAUAGAUUACCACAAGCAUUCAGAUCCGAAACAGAUGUCUUCUGUGUACCAUCCAAGGUUUCUUCAGAAAGAUUUGGCAAGUCUUGCUGUAUUUCAGUGUUUUGCCCCUGAGCUAGUGGUCCAACAAUUUUAGGGUCCCCAAGAGCCAGGCUUUGAGAUGAAAUGAUCACAUUUUCAUCUCGUUCAACAUUGUUGCAUGAUUCACUCGGAGAUCUUGGGGCCUUUUCAACAUUCAUGACCAGCUCAGUUUGAAAAGCAGCUUGAGUUGAAGAUUCUAUUGUUUGUGCACUGUUUGCUUUGAUACUGUUUUCAUCUUUAUUAUUGGAAACACCAGAAAAUUGUGUUUCUUCUCUGAAGAUCUCAGAGUACUGAACUUCCAGUAUUCUUGAGGUGGGGGUUGGAUGAAAAUGAUAACUACUGGAAGGGUCCAUGGAUGCUCCUAAGAAGCUUUGAGGAUCAUUUAAUUUGACCGCACUUUGUCUAUGGUUUUCAUGAUUCAUGCCUUUGAAUUGGUAUUCAUACUUCGAGUUCUCAUCGGAUGUUGCAUUUCUACUUCCAUUUAUUUCAUUUAGCAUUGUAGAUCCAGCCAUCAGUCCAAGAUCCGCAAUAGUGGCAGAGCCAUCUGAACUGUUGGGCUCAGACCUAUUUAACAUAUGGUCUGCUUCCGAGUUGCUCUCUAGGCAUGAUCCAAUUUUUUCAGCAGUUUGAACAAGUGAAGAGUUUUCAGAUGAAAAGACAGAAUUUUGAGACGAAACUGGAUCCCCUAUACUGCCUCCAGGAGAGUCAUUGCUGUUGACAACUUCUUUUUCUUCACAACUUUCAGGGUCAUAGAGCAUCAUGGAACUCUGGUCACAAACUGUUUUCCAUUGUAUGCUGUCUUCUGUAUCCAGUAAGCACACUUCUGGUUCGCUGACUAUGAAGCUCACCCCCUCUUCGUAGCAUGCUUCAUGGUUGCUCUUUGACUUGAGUGGGAAGCGUGCAGCGAGUGACAUGAAUGCAGAACUGCAAGAGAUUGAAGCAAUUGGGUAAAUGGAUUUGUGAUUUGUGCUUUCUCUAAUUACCAUUUACUUAUUUAUAUUGGGACAAUAGUUUACCUAGAAAGAUGGUCAGAGACAUUCUGAGUAAGAAAAACUCCAAUAACCGAGUCCACAACUGAGCCUUUCCAUUGUGAGAAACGUCUAUCUCCUGUAGUUACAUUUGUAACUUAAUGUUAUGUUCAUGCAAUAAAAUAACAAUCUGGCAAAGUUAUAUAAAGUUGAGACUUUCAAUGGGUAAAAAGAGAGGAAAGCUUUAUAUGAGGAGAUUGUUAUCAAAGUUUCUUAGGCAUUGCAACAAUCAUUUUUUUGGUAAGUACUUGAGACCAUUAUUCUUGAGUAGGUUCCCUUGGAUUUUCUUAUGGGUGAAGCAGUGUUUCAGUUUUUAGGGAUAUAGUUCGUGUCAGUAUUGUUAUAUCUUUCAAAGUGUAAUGAAAAGUAUAUGGAGGGCCAUUCCUUUUCAUUGAGGCUUCUAUGCACUAAAGAUUAAUUUGUAUAACAUCUAGGUUUGGAACAAAAAUUAGUUGUCCUAAAUUUAAUAUCAUCAUCUGUUUCUUCCCUUGUUCACAGUUACUAUGUUAUAUUGGCUGAAGAAAAACUCAUCACAUAUAUUGAAGUUGAUUUAAUACCUAAAUAAAAAAAGAAGAAGUUGAUUUAUCAAGAUUUGAGACUAAAGAUGCUCUACUUCUUUUUUCUGUUGAUUGUUUUCCUCUCAAAAAAGCUUAGACGCUGAUUUUUGGGGGGGUUCAGUUUACAGUUAACUGCUUUGUAGUAAAUCAAAGGUUUUGGGGCACUCUUGAAUUCUUAGAAAAGGACAUUUGUUUAGGAAAAAGGAUUCUGGUUGUGGUGUUGCACAACUGUUGCAUGAGGUGUGGUGGGUGGACCGGCUGCUUAAGGACCGUGUCAUAGUAGGACGAUUCUAAAAGAUGAUAAUUAUCAUGCAACAGAACUAAGAACAUGCAACUUGUACAUUCUUAAAUAGAGAUAAGUCCUUAGAAAUAAUUUGUGAUUAAUGUUGGAAUAUUGGUACCUUGUACAAGAUGCAUGCGAGCUAUAAAAGAGUCUGCACGUCCACGGAAUACUCUCCUUUCUUCUUCCCACCAUUUUGCCUUUCCUUCAUCCGUACCAUCAAUCCCUUCACUGUUUAUGUUCCUCAUCAAAAGCGUCCACACUCUAGUAGUCUCUUCAUCAAGGUCAACUUUAGGCCGUGGACGCCGUUUCUUUAUAGGAUCAAACCAACCUUCAUAGGGUACAACUGUACCAUCUCUUUUGUAGAGGACGAGUGCACUGUGAUCUUGGUAUUGCAUAUUGACUACAUUAUUCUGUUGUACAAGUUUUCUGCUUUCCCCGUUGAUGCUCAGAUUUUUAAAUUGCUCGACCCUUGCAUCAAUAGAAAUAUUCUGCUUCCAUGUUACUUCUUGAGAAGCACCUGCAUCAAGUGGCCUGUAUAAAUUAGAUAGAAUUGCUUGGCAGACUUUGUGGGUUCCUUAAUAAAGUAUAAGUUAUUGUGUAAUCCGAAGUGAAAUGAAUUUAUAGUUGAAGUACCUAAUGGAUCUGAAGAGGAUGGGUGGCAAUUAUACAAGACAAGCUUGUUGUCCAGUUGCAUUUCAUUCAUACUGGAAGUUGCUGAAAUAACCAGAGAGUUUCUCUUCUUGCUUCGCUUCCUUCUUGCCGGUGUUGCACUCAUCUUUUCAACCAGGUCGUCAAUGAAUGUAUGAGGUUUGUGUGGAUUCUCAACUGUUUGCCCAUCACCAUCCCCUAGAGGUUGUUUGGUCAGGUGAGUUAUGCACUCAGGAACUUUGGUAAGGGCAGUCAGGUUGCGAACCCGAGUAGGGCGGCCUCUAGAUCUUUUUCGUGUUGACCUCUCUGUCUGAAUGAAAGCCAGGAAACGCUGAAAACUUUGCUGAUUACCUAUUCCUUCUUCAACAUUGGGGGAAACUGUACCCACCUCAAACUGAGGACAAGAUGCCCAAGUGUUGCCUUUUGUUGAGCAAUGAUAUACUUCAGCUUCACUUUGGAGACAGGUUGCCGGCCUCACAACAUCUUUAGUGGCAGUCACACAAGACGAUGAACAAGAUAUAGCAGAAUUCUGACCCUUUUCAGUUCUUUUUUUCUUGUAAAUAUUUGGAAAAUGCAUCCAAUUCAUGAUCUGGUAUGCGUCUAAAGUGUUAAAGUGAGCCCCGACUAGAUUUGGCACGCUGGCAUCAUCAAAGUCGGCAGCAUGAGAAUAGCUUCUCUUGGAUUGCCUAGCUUGUUCUUCCUUGGACAAAAUCACAAUGUUUUCCCGUCCAUCAUGAGCAAGCAGUUGAUAUUCCCUUUCUUUAUCGCUAUCCUUUUGGGAAUUGGCAUUCAACUCUGCCUGCAGGGGACUAGACUGUGUGGGAAGUGAAGUGCUUGGGGCUUGCCUUUCAGGCAGCGAUAUAUAUUCUUUCAGCAUUUGAUCCAUGGAACAAGUGAGGUCAUAGGCAAUUCCAGCUUCUGUGCGUUCUACCAUCACUUCAAUCCCUUCACUGAUCUGUACAGGUGAUCUUAAUUGAACUCCUUCAUUGCAAUAGUCUUUGGCCUGUAUCUCUGAAUCUAAAUUACUAGAACAUUUGAAUGUUGAGCUUUCAUCUCGUGAUUGUUCAAUGUCAAAUUUCAAAGCCCUUCUGCAUGACUUUCUGGCAGGCUCAAGUGUCUUCAGAUGAGUAGAUUCUCCAGUUACUUCUGCUGGAGUUGUAGAGUGUUCAGUGAGUCCUUUUCUUCGUACAUACUUUCUCUUGCCUGUCGUUGGUUUUGGGGUCACUGGCUUUGGAGUUCUUUUUGGUUUUCCUUCUGUGAUCACCUUGGGCCGGUGCUUUUUUCGCCUUGGUUUCUCCUGUGGGAUUUUAUUUGGGUCAAUACCAUGGCUGCCUCCCUUGUCAGGAUUGUGAUCCUCCUUAAAUGGAGUGGAAAUGGCAGCAACUGAUGAAUCUGUGACAGGCUUUAAGAGUUCUUUAUUGUGUUGGAACUCAUUGGUGCCAACACUUGCUGUGACAAUUUCAGUCUUCAGCUUCUCUCUUUCCUCAUUUUUUGUUCCAUCUGCACAUAAAUUUUGUUCUUUGGAAAUCAGUUUGUUCUGUACUCUCAUGUCCUUCUCCGGUGUUAUGGGUGCAAACUUGGAAAUCUUAUUACACGAAUUUGCCUUAGACAUUGUCUCUGGUGGCAAAUUGAGAUCAUAGUACUGCCUAUGAGUAUGAACUUCAUCUGUAGUGUGGCAUAGGUUCAUAUUCACAUGGUUAAUCGGGAAAAAAGAAGCAAAUAGUAACUUGCAUUGUUAAGAGGCUUGAAAGUACAGAUCCAAUACUAAAAGCAAAAUUAGCUACACACUUACAGUGAGGCUCUUUCGGCAUGCAAUUGAAAUUACUCCACGGGUAAUCUUCACCGUUACAUUCAUUCUGACAACUUGUAGCACGCAUCAAAGAGCUGGUUGCCACAUCAUCGUUUUGCAGGUGUGCCACAGUACCGGAGGCCGCCUUAGCGGCAUCUGCGAGGGCCAAGAGAUGACCAAAAGGACCGAAAGGUACGUAAUUCCAUCUGCCCAUGUGGGACUCUUCUUCGCAUGUUUCUUCGUUCCAAUUGUUAAUACUAGCCCUGUUGAAUUCACUGCAGUUGGGUGAAUUGCAACAUGCAACUAACCUACCCGUUUGAGAGCCUUCUGUAAAACUAGAAAAUGUCUCUGAUCCCAGCCAAGUUGCUCUCUCAAUCUGGUUUCCUUGUCCAUCUGUGUAGAUCGGUGUGGGUCUCGGUAGAUGUGGCUUAACUGGGGUUGUUGGAAUCCAAGAACCCUGAACUUGUAAUCCAUCUUCAUCCGGUUUUCUCGCAUCCAUUCCUUGUCUUCAGAAGUACAAAGCUUGAAACUUUAGCUCUUGUUUUUCUAUCCUUCGUCUUCUACCCUUUAUAAGCAACAACUUUCCCAGGGAAAAGCCUUCCCAUCACUGCUAAAUUCUGUGGUGAUUUGAAACUAAUUCUUGAGCCCCA